GACGAACGCUGGCGGCGUGCUUAACACAUGCAAGUCGAGCGGUAAGGCCCUUUCGGGGGUACACGAGCGGCGAACGGGUGAGUAACACGUGGGUGACCUGCCCUUAGCUCUGGGAUAAAGCCUGGGAAACUGGGUCUAAUACCGGAUAUGACUCCAUAACGCAUGUUGUGGGGUGGAAAGCCUUGUGCGGCUAGGGAUGGGCCCGCGGCCUAUCAGCUUGUUGGUGGGGUGAUGGCCUACCAAGGCGACGACGGGUAGCCGGCCUGAGAGGGCGACCGGCCACGCUGGGACUGAGACACGGCCCAGACUCCUACGGGA
rnacentral:rRNA from 1 species